rnacentral:rRNA from 1 species
CCUACGGGAGGCAGCAGUGGGGAAUAUUGCACAAUGGGGGGAACCCUGAUGCAGCGACGCCGCGUGGGUGAAGGAGUAUUUCGGUAUGUAAAGCCCUAUCAGCAGGGAAGAACAAUGACGGUACCUGACUAAGAAGCACCGGCUAAAUACGUGCCAGCAGCCGCGGUAAUACGUAUGGUGCAAGCGUUAUCCGGAUUUACUGGGUGUAAAGGGAGCGCAGGCGGCGCGUUAAGCCUGGUGUGAAAGCCCGGGGCCCAACCGCGGGACUGCAUUGGGAACUGGCGCGCUGGAGUGCCGGAGGGGUAGGCGGAAUUCCUAGUGUAGCGGUGAAAUGCGUAGAUAUUAGGAGGAACACCAGUGGCGAAGGCGGCCUACUGGACGGUGACUGACGCUGAGGCUCGAAAGCGUGGGGAGCAAACAGGAUUAGAUACCCGGGUAGUC